rnacentral:rRNA from 1 species
CCUACGGGAGGCAGCAGUGAGGAAUUUUCCGCAAUGGGCGAAAGCCUGACGGAGCAAUACCGCGUGAGGGAUGAAGGAUUUUGGUCUGUAAACCUCUUUUCUCAAGAAAGAAGUUCUGACGGUACUUGAGGAAUAAGCAUCGGCUAACUCCGUGCCAGCAGCCGCGGUAAUACGGGGGAUGCAAGCGUUAUCCGGAAUGAUUGGGCGUAAAGCGCCUGUAGGUUGUUUAUUAAGUCCGUUGUUAAAGCCUAGGGCUUAACCCUAGAAAAGCAAUGGAAACUAGUAGACUAGAGUAUGGCAGGGGUAGAGGGAAUUUCUAGUGUAGCGGUGAAAUGCGUAGAUAUUAGAAAGAACACCGGUGGCGAAAGCGCUCUACUGGACCAUUACUGACACUCAGAGGCGAAAGCUAGGGUAGCAAAAGGGAUUAGAUACCCCUGUAGUCCUAGCCGUAAACGAUGGAUACUAGAUGUUGUGCAUUAUGUACAGUAUCGUAGCUAACGCGUUAAGUAUCCCGCCUGGGGAGUACGCUCGCAAGGGUGAAACUCAAAGGAAUUGACGGCUGNGAGUGCGAGNGACACGAGGGAGAGG